CUUCCACAGCCAUCCAUCAACCCUCCACAACUGUCCAAAGCAAUUCUUAUAAUUGCUUAAAAGAUCAUCGCCGAAUUCCGCCAUCAUCUCCACCACCGCGAAUCAUCCUUUGAUCUCCCCGUGAAUUGCAACAGGUUCUGGUUUCCUACCUUACUGCUGCUGCAAUUUAGUUAUCCUUAUUCGAAAAUCUAAAAAAAAA
rnacentral:lncRNA from 1 species